UACGUAGGGUGCAAGCGUUAAUCGGAAUUACUGGGCGUAAAGCGUGCGCAGGCGGUGAUGUAAGACAGAUGUGAAAUCCCCGGGCUCAACCUGGGAACUGCAUUUGUGACUGCAUCGCUGGAGUGCGGCAGAGGGGGAUGGAAUUGCCGGUGUAGUGGUGAAAUGCGUAGAGAUCGGCAGGAACACCCAGGGGGAAACCAGUCGACUGGGCAUCUACUGACGCUGAGGUGCGAGAGCGUGGGGAGCGAACCGG
rnacentral:rRNA from 1 species